UGGGGGAUAUUGCACAAUGGGGGGAAACCCGUGAUGCAGCAACGCCGCGUGAAGGAAGAAGGUCUUCGGAUUGUAAACUUUGUCCUUGGUGAAGAUAAUGACGGUAGCCAAGGAGGAAGCUCCGGCUAACUACGUGCCAGCAGCCGCGGUAAUACGUAGGGAGCGAGCGUUGUCCGGAUUUACUGGGUGUAAAGGGCGUGCAGCCGGAGAGACAAGUCAGAUGUGAAAUCCGCGGGCUUAACCCGCGAACUGCAUUUGAAACUGUUUCCCUUGAGUAUCGGAGAGGUAAUCGGAAUUCCUAGUGUAGCGGUGAAAUGCGUAGAUAUUAGGAAGAACACCAGUGGCGAAGGCGGAUUACUGGACGACAACUGACGGUGAGGCGCGAAAGCGUGGGGAGCAAACAGGAUUAGAUACCCUGGUAGU
rnacentral:rRNA from 1 species